rnacentral:rRNA from 1 species
GGCAUGGCGCAGCUACACAUGCAGUCGAACGGUAACAGGAAGCAGCUUGCUGCUUUGCUGACGAGUGGCGGACGGGUGAGUAAUGUCUGGGAAACUGCCUGAUGGAGGGGGAUAACUACUGGAAACGGUUGCUAAUACCGCACAACGUCGCAAGACCAAAGAGGGGGACCUUCGGGCCUCUCGCCAUCGGAUGUGCCCAGAUGGGAUUAGCUAGUAGGUGGGGUAACGGCUCACCUAGGCGACGAUCCCUAGCUGGUCUGAGAGGAUGACCAGCCACACUGGAACUGAGACACGGUCCAGACUCCUACGGGAGGCAGCAGUGGGGAAUAUUGGACAAUGGGCGCAAGCCUGAUGCAGCCAUGCCGCGUGUAUGAAGAAGGCCUUCGGGUUGUAAAGUACUUUCAGCGGGGAGGAAGGCGAUGAGGUUAAUAACCUUGUCGAUUGACGUUACCCGCAGAACAAGCACCGGCUAACUCCGUGCAGCGCCGGAAGUAAUAA